CAGAUAACCUGUCUGGGCUGAAAACACAUGAGGCAUUGCUUUGCUAAUCAGUUACUCACAUUGUGCUUUUACCUGCAGUGAUUAAAGCAAAGAGGGAAAACUUCAGCUGCAACAACAGAAGACUUUUAUGGAUAUGGAAAACAAAUGACAGGAAUUCAGGAGCAAAGCCAGCACGCUAGAGAAAUAUAUAUCUGCCACGGAUCAGGCAUUAAGCCCUAGAAACUGGAAUUCUGGGAGGAAACCCUGUACUGUGGGGAGCAACAUGGCAAAUUGUGCAGAUUUUUUAUAUUCUCUAGCAUUUGCAAAGGAGCCUCUUUGUAUCUGUCAUUGUAAAAUAUAACUGUAAAUAAAACAGAAUUUGAUGAAGGGUGGCUUAACUGCCUGAAAUAUUACUCCUUGUUGCACUCUCUAUGGCCAAAUAAAGACUGGACAAGCCCUUUGUUUCACAUAUACCGGUGUGUGUAGUUCCUGCUUUGCUGAUUGAUUGGCUACACCAGUCCCAUAUUCUGUGUCUCGGUGCCUAAUUAGUGCUUGCAGAUGGAGGGAACAGCAAAUAUAUCUUGGAAUUAUUGGCCUUAACAGCGCCACCUACUGUAGGUGGGAUGGGGCAAAAUAGAACAAGCGGAAUUAUUCUCCAGUUGGCAAGGUUCUGCAUCUCCGCAUUUAAUGUAAUCUCCCCC